rnacentral:rRNA from 1 species
UACAGAGGGUGCGAGCGUUAAUCGGAAUUACUGGGCGUAAAGCGCGCGUAGGCGGCUUUGCAAGUCGGGUGUGAAAUCCCCAGGCUUAACCUGGGAACUGCAUUCGAGACUGCAUUGCUAGAGUAUGGGAGAGGGAAGUGGAAUUUCCGGUGUAGCGGUGAAAUGCGUAGAUAUCGGGAGGAACACCGGUGGCGAAGGCGGCGAUCUGGGUAGAUACUGACGCUGAGGUGCGAAAGCGUGGGGAGCAAACAGG